GUAACACGUGGCCAAACUACCCUGUCGAUCGGGACACCCUCGGGAAACUGAGGCUAAUCCCGAAUACGGCUCGCUGCCUGGAGGUGGCGCGAGCCCGAAACGUUCAGGCGCGACAGGAUGUGGCUGCGGCCGAUUAGGUAGACGGUGGGGUAACGGCCCACCGUGCCGAUAAUCGGUACGGGUUGUGAAAGCAAGAGCCCGGAGACGGAAUCUGAGACAAGAUUCCGGGCCCUACGGGGCGCAGCAGGCGCGAAACCUUUACACUGCACGCGAGUGCGAUAGGGGGACUCCAAGUGCGAGGGCAUACAGUCCUCGCUUUUCACCACCGUAAGGAGGUGGUAGAAUAAGUGCUGGGCAAGACCGGUGCCAGCCGCCGCGGUAAUACCGGCAGCACGAGUGAUGACCGCUAUUAUUGGGCCUAAAGCGUCCGUAGCCGGCCAGGCAAGUCCAUCGGGAAAUCCGCACGCCUAACGUGCGGGCGUCCGGUGGAAACUGCUUGGCUUGGGACCGGAAGAUCCAGAGGGUACGUCUGGGGUAGGAGUGAAAUCCUGUAAUCCUGGACGGACCACCGGUGGCGAAAGCGCUCUGGAAAGACGGAUCCGACGGUGAGGGACGAAAGCUUGGGUCACGAACCGGAUUAGAUACCCGGGUAGUCCAAGCUGUAAACGAUGUCUGCUAGGUGUGGCACAGGC
rnacentral:rRNA from 1 species